rnacentral:lncRNA from 1 species
GAAAGCAGCUUGUCAACAUUCCUUCUUUCAUGGUGAGGGUGGACACUGAGAAGCACGUCGACUUCUCUCUCACCAGCCCCCUGGGUGGUGGCCAACCUGGAAGAGUGAAGCGGAAGAACCAGAAGAAGGCCUCAGGUGGUGGUGGUGAUGACGGCGAGGAGGAGGAAGACUAAGCGCCCAGCCUCACCCGCAUAACUUUCGUUGCAGAAAUGUUGAGAUUGCCUUGUGGAACUCGGAAAUGAUUCAAACUUUCCUUCUUAGAAACUUAGUGGUGUAGAGCUUUCGUUGGUUCAGAAUCUUUUGGCUGUCGGUUCUAAAAUUAAACUUAUGUGUGUCGGUUUUGCUUGGUUAGUGACCACCGAGCAGAAGUGAACUCUUGAGGCUGCUUCGUUUUUUGUGAACCAAACGUAUCUUGUUUAUCGAUUUGACAAGCCUGGUUCUGAGUUAUUUUACUCUGCAUGAAAUGUUACUGUUGUCCUUACUAUUUUUCUCUUUUGUCUGAUCGGUUAGGCUGGUGACAAUUUCGAGUGUGUCGACCGAAUGAUACUCUUUCCCUGUCUAUAAUUACAAUUGUAGUAUUAGUAACUAAUCGUAAUGGGAAUGAGAAAUUUGUAGAAAUGCCGUAAUUUUAUCGAGAAACAUCACCGUCUUUGGAUAUCAGCCGAAACAUUCCUAUGAUACAUUCUUUGGAUAUUUGGGAUACAACCUUAGUGAUUCUUACCUCAGCAGCCCCGUUAGCUGAUUGCCGAUUCCAGCUUACCUCGUGUCAUUCCUUGCUAGCCAAAGAGCGUAUAAACCCUGGAUUAUCGUCGACCUCUUCCUCCGUGGCUUCUGCGGAUCAUGGCAUCAUCCAUCUCACUCUGAGAGCCUGCUGAAACAGGUGGCACCAUCCCCGGAGCUCCCAAUUCUGAGCACAAAUAUCUCCAAAAAGGUAUCGAGUGAGGACAUUGCCCAAAACCUGUGAUAUAAUGUCUCUCCCUACCACAUGUGGCGCAAUACACACCCGCCUUGAUCUGUCGACGACGAAGCUCACCCCCAACAGCGAGGCCAUUGCGCAUUAGCGGCCAUGUAUGUAUUCUUCUUUUUCUUUAUUUGGUCUAUCCCAUGGUGCAAGCCAUCCUUUGUGGUUGACAACGGUCGAAAAAGGUUUCUGUCAUCCGGUCUCAUGCGAUUCUUUGUCAUGGGCAAUUGGGCAGGUUAUCAGAAUUGCUAUUCUAUUAUAUGAUUUUACGACUUUACAAUCCAUACUAACUUCUUUGAUUCUACGAUUUUGGUUAGUAGAAUCUACGUUUUUAUGAUUCUGAUAGUUAAGAUUGUAUAAUUUGUGAUUCUACCAUCAGAGCUUCGAUCCGAUUCAGAAUUACAAUUAUGACAACCUUGGUUGACUUAACUGUGCACCGUCCUAAAAAUAAUAAUUAGAAAACAUAAUCGCCUUCAACAUCGACCUUACCAACAGAGGGCAAAAAGGGCCUCCCUUUCGAUUUGGAAAGAGCACCCCGAGAAUAAUAUUGAGCCGUUCUUCAAAUUCAAAGGUGAAUGCCGAUGCAACAAUAUAGGAUUAACGAAGAACCUCAAAGCAAGUUUGCGUUCACCACAAAACGUCAUAUCUGAUUUGGCCAAACAUAGAUCCACAAUUGUUUUCCCUUUCAUCUCCAUGACCCUAAAAGAGGUGAGGAACAAGGCCAUCAUAAGCCUGAUCCAGCCGUACGACAAGUUUACUAGGGGUCCCAUCGGGUCCACCACUUGCAAUCACAUAUUUCUCCAUAGAAAAUAACUAAGCUAAGGGGCGUGCGCCUUGAAACACCGCUAGAGAGCGCCGGAGUGAAACCCCACAACAACAUAGCGCCACAAAUGGUGAGGCCAUCGGAGGAGGAAGGGAGGGGUGCCGGAGCACCCUCAACGACUCCCAAGGAGGAGAGAUAAAGGGAAGGGGAAUAAGCCUACUUUCCUGUUUCCGAACCUAUCAUCGCUUAUUACUUGCCUUGUUUCUACAAUAAUCAUUGCUUAACUCAUGUUAGAUGAUAGAUUAGAGCAUGGUCAAUAAUGUAGCCGGUUGGUGGCUAUAGAGAGGGAACUGGAUCCUCUAACAUUAAGAAGGAAAGUUAGAGAAGCUACAAUUAGAUGCCAAGCCAUGUAAAGUUUUUAUGAAAAAAUAUUCAUAGAAUAGGUUCGCUCUUAGAUAGGCUCCAAGUACUCCCUCCGGUCCUUUUUAGUUCGCAUAUAAGAUUUGACUGAAGUCAAGCCUCAUAAAGUUUGACCAACUUUAUAGAAAAAAGUACUAACAUUCACAAUCUGAAAUCAAUAUUAAUAGAUGUGUCAUGAUUUAAAGUUUCAUAUUGUAUAACUUUAGCAUGUCAGAUGUUGAUAUUUUUUCAUAUAAGUACGGUCAAUUUUUGUGAAUUUUGACUUCAAAGAAUUUUAAUAUGCAGAGUAAAAAGGACUGGAGGGAGUAUUUAGUAUUUUCAUGAACAAUGCAUAAGAUUGGAAGUGAACUAUAUGCAUACUACUUUUUCCCGAUCCAUGUGCCAUAGCAGAGAAUAAGAGGCCACUCCAGACUCUAUCAUUUCUUCUCACUCUUCCAAAUAAGAUUUUAUGGAAUGAAAAGUCUUGUAGCCUACUGAUUAGGCUUUAUUAGACUUGCUUUUAGAGCAUGGUUAAUAGUAUAAUCAAACUGCUGGCUAUAUGAUCUUGUCACAUCAUCUGUAGUCGAGCUUAUAGCCGGCAAGUACAAUAAUUGCGUGUAAAUAUGUACUACUUUAUUGAUACAUGGUCUAUCUCUCACUCUCAUAAAGAAUCUAGGAGCACAUGCUACAACCGGUUAUUAAUAAGUAGUUCGCUUUUCUUCUCUCUCUUCUUCUCUCGUCUUUAUCUCAUAAAAAAUAUAUUUAAAGUCUUACAGCCCGCCUACAUCAUCUUAUUGUACUUGCUCUUAUCACAUUUAUCAUACUAAGAGCAUCUACAGUCAGACUUGGCAAAUCUGACCCCUCAAACACCUACGGAUGCGCCCGGGCGCGUCCGCAGACAGUGACCGAUCACGCCUCAAAUAAUCCAUUACACAACCGGAUACCUUAAAUUAGGAACCUCAAAUCCAUACUAUUACAUGCAACACAAACCUAAUCUUAAGCGAAGCCCGUCCAACUCCGCCGCUCCCAUGUCCGGCGGCUGGCUGCGCUCCCCAGAGUGUUUGUCCGUUCGUCGGCGAGUAGAGUAGGACAUGGGGCAGAAGCCGACUCACGAAACUCAAUGCGUCACCGUCUCCCAUGCUCUACACUUUCUCGUCGGAGCCCGGAACCCUGACGCUGUCAGUGGACGACAGAUCGAUGAUGGACCCAUCCUAGGAUGAGCCGACGACAUCCCCCAUGAUGCAGUUGCAGCACCCGGACUAGUGCACAGCAUGGGACACCGAAGAAUGCGACUUCGCCACGCCAACGUCCACUGCUGCCUCGCACGGCGGGCACGGCGGGCCAUGUUUGCGUCAGACGACGCCCAUGGUGCGUCAUGCUGCUCAGCCCUCCAACGGAGGGGCGCGUCCGCCACUGCUUUCGGACACCAGACGAACCGCACCGCCUCCGAUGAGGCAGCGAUGCCACAUGCCACGGCGGAUCCAUGCGUCAUUUGGGCGGACGCAAUGGAUUCCCGACAGAAGGAGUCCGAGAUCUGCCGUCGGGCGGCCUCCUCACGGGAGCGGCGGCGGAGCGCAAGGCGGACGGUCAUCUCCUCCUCGGGGCCACGUGGGAUGAGCUUAGACUCGACGGAUCUGGAGGUGUUGGGCUCGGAUCCGCUGGCUGCCAUGCCGAAGCAGUCCGGAGGGCGCGGAUAGGAGCUUCGAUGGCGGAUGGGAGUGGAAUAAAGUGGCUAGUGUUUGGUUCUAGAAGUGGGUGAAGAGGAAUAUACAUGGGGCUGGGUGGGUCAGCGUGGACCGGGUCCAAUGUGACGAACGCCCACAUAUCCAUCUCAGAUUUGGGCUGGAUAUGAGGGUUAGCCCGGACAUUUGUGCCCCGUUUGAAGCUUCCGUCUGAGUUGGUUUUUUGUGAUCGAUCACUAACUGGAUUGUCUGUUUGGACGUAUGAGACGGGUUUGAGGCGUCUAGCUGUAUAUGCUCUGAGCAGUGAGCUACGUAGUGCAUAGUUACCAUAUAAAUAAUAAAAAAUCAAGGAGUUUGGUUUAGUUAAUUAGCUCGUGGUUUGCGUGGAUAAGGACAUGUUUCGCUUGAAUCCACUGCACAGCCUGAACAGAUUCGCUACGAGGGUCACGCCUUUCGAUGGAAAGUGGAAGAAAUAUUGUUUGUUGCAGAAAGUGAUCUUUUAUUUUGUUAUUAUGCAGGAACAAUAAUGACAGUGCCAAAAAAAAUCUAAGAGCAUUUGGCUAACGUUUUAGAAGAUUCCUUGCAAAAAUAAAACUCGCAAAUAUAAUUUCUUUAACACAGUAUCGACAUAGACGCUUAUAUAUGCACGCAUACACUUAUUCUUAUUAUAACACACAUUCUACUCCUAUAAGCACCUUUAAAAAAUCGAGUCGGCAUAUUAUCUUGAGAUUGAGGAAGUCACUAAAGGCGCCUUGUAGUCAAUGGGAAUUUUUCCUCACACUAAAUGUGCAUAGCUGAAAGUACUGAAAUAAAUUCAAGAAUAAAUGUGAGCACCAGGCCAUGAACUUUGAUGGGUUGGGAAUACCACUUCCACAUAAGGGCAUAUCCAAUAGCAAUCCGUAAAUUUCCUCCCCUCAUCCGUCCGCAGACAUGGAUGCGAGAGGCCGCCGUCCAACCGUAGCCGCAUACACCCGGUUUUCUUUAUCUUUUUAAAUGCACACGAUCAAAUAGCCGCAUACAUAGGGUACAUACGUUCAAGUAGCCGCAUGCAGUAGUACUUCAAAAUUUAAAAAGUUCAAAUAUUACAUCCCAACAUUGUUUUCCCCUUUAACCGCCCAUUGAUACUCAAUCAGAUUUUCGUUCAGCUGCUCGCGAGUUCGUCAAUGCCGAAUUUGUUGAUGCAUUUAAAUAAACUCUUUAGAUAUGGCCGGAUUCUGGUCUGGAAGUUGGAUAGGAUCACCCAUGUUCUCAAAUUCUAGUGCCGCGGCAUCAUCGCCACCCUCAUCCUCAACGAACAUGUUGUGCAUGAUCACAGAACAUGUCAUGACCUCCCACAAGGCCUCCGGGUCCCAUUGUUUAGCAGGUCCACGAACAAUCGCAAAAUGGACCUGCAGAACUCCAAAUGCUCUCUCGGCAUCCUUUCUAGCUGCUUCUUGUGUUUGGGAAAAAUGAACCUUUUUCUGGCCAACUAGGUUAGAGAUGGUACUGACAAAAGUAGCCCACGGUGGGUAGAUACAAUCAACCAGAUAGUAUCCUAUAUUGUACUCAUGCUCAUUGAAAAUAUAGUAGCAAGGAAGAACUUUUCCUUCAAUCAGCCUCGCGAACAACGAUGAUCACUGCAGCACAUUGAUGUCAUUGUUCGACCUGGAAUGCCAAAAAAAGCAUGCCAAAUCCAAAGAUUUUGUGAUGGAACUGCUUCAAGAAUUAUGGUGGGCUUCUUAACACGACCCUGAUAUUUCCCUUGUAAAGCCUUCAGAUAGUUCUUCCAUUUUCAAUGCAUGCAGUCAAGAGAUACAAGCAAACCCGGCCACCCUCCUGCUUCUCAGAUUGCUAAGAGCCUCUCGAUGUCUGCCAGAGGUUGAUAGAGGCAAGGGUGUCCCAAUCUUUCGAUGAGAUGAUAACUAUCGAUUUGGUGGAGACGACUUUGACGAUCCGACUACAAACAUGCAAGACGUCGCGCCUUAGCAAUCGCUAAAUGAUACGUCUCCAACGUAUCUACUUUUCCAAACACUGUUGCCCUUCUUUUGGACUCUAACUUGCAUGAUUUGAAUGGAACUAACCCGGACUGACGCUGUUUUUAGCAGAAUUACCAUGGUGUUAUUUAUGUGCAGGAGCAAACGUUCUCGGAAUGACCUGAAACUUCAUGGAGCCACUUUUCAGAAAAUAAGAAAAAUACCUGCAAAAGAUGAAGCCAGGGGCCCACCACCUUGCCACGAGGGUGGAGGGGCGCGCCUGCCCCCUAGGGCGCGCCCCCUACCUCGUGGCCCCCCUGUUGCGUCUUCGACUCCAACUCCUACUCCAUAUAUUGAGUUUCGGGGAGAAAAAAUCAGAGAGAAGAAAUCAUCGCAUUUUACGAUACGGAGCCGUCGCCAAGCCCUAAAACCUCUCGGGAGGGCUGAUCUGGAGUCCGUUCGGGGCUCCGAAGAGGGGAAUCCGUCGCCAUCGUCAUCAUCAACCAUCCUCCAUCACCAAUUUCAUGAUGCUCACCGCCGUGCGUGAGUAAUUCCAUCGUAGGCUUGCUGGACGGUGAUGGGUUGGAUGGGAUCUAUCAUGUAAUCGAGUUAGUUUUGUUAGGAUUUGAUCCCUAGUAUCCACUAUGUUCUGAGAUUGAUGUUGCUAUGACUUUGCUAUGCUUAAUGCUUGUCAGUAGGGCCCGAGUGCCAUGAUUUCAGAUCUGAACCUAUUAUGUUUUCAUCAAUAUAUGAGUGUUCUUGAUCCUAUCUUGCAAGUCUAUAGUCACCUAUUAUGUGUUAUGAUCCGUUAACCCCGAAGUGACAAUAAUCGGGAUACUUACCGGUGAUGACCGUAGUUUGAGGAGUUCAUGUAUUCACUAUGUGUUAAUGCUUUGUUCCGGUACUCUAUUAAAAGGAGGCCUUAAUAUCCCUUAGUUUCCGUAAGGACCCUGCUGCCACGGGAGGGUAGGACAAAAGAUGUCAUGCAAGUUCUUUUCCAUAAGCACGUAUGACUAUAUUCGGAAUACAUGCCUACAUUAUAUCAAUGAACUGGAGCUAGUUUUGUGUCACCCUAGGUUAUGACUGUUACAUGAUGAACCGCAUCCGGCAUAAUUCUCCAUCACUGAUCCAUUGCCUACGAGCUUUCCAUAUAUUGUUCUUCGCUUAUUUACUUUCCCGUUGCUAUUGCUAUCAUCACUACAAAAUACCAAAAACAUUACUUUUACUACUGUUACCUUUUGCUACCGUUACCACUACUAUCAUAUUACUUUGCUACUAAACACUUUGCUGCAGAUAUUAAGUUUCCAGGUGUGGUUGAAUUGACAACUCAGCUGCUAAUGCUUGAGAAUAUUAUUUGGCUCCCCUUGUGUCGAAUCAACAAAUUUGGGUUGAAUACUCUACCCUCGAAAACUGUUGCGAUCCCCUAUACUUGUGGGUUAUCAAGACUAUUUUCUGGCGCCGUUGCCGGGGAGCAUAGCUCUAUUCUUUGAGUCACUUGGGAUAUAUAUCUGCUUAUCAUUAUGAAAAACUUGAGAGAUCCAAAAACCAAGAUCUAUCCCUCAACUACGAGGGGAGGUAAGGAACUGCCAUCUAGCUCUGCACUUGAUUCACCUUUUGUUAUGAGUAAGUUUGCGACACCUACACCUGCUUCUGCCAUUCGUUCUGACAUGUGGCAUGUUAUUGAUGAUGCCACUUCUGCUAUGCAUGAUACUUAUGAUGAAACUACCUCUAUGUCUGAUACUACUGUGCCACUUAGUGAUUUCCAUGAUGAACAAAUUGCUAGAGCUAGAGAAAUUGAAAAUAUUGAAUCUGAUGAUACUGAUGAAAGUGAUGAUGAAGAAUCACUUGUUAUUCCUAAGGGUUAUGUUUUUGAUCAAGAAGCUUCUUUCGCUAUCUUGGCUUGUGAAAAUAGAAAUGAACUAAAAGGUUAUUAACUAAAUGGAGUAAGCAAUCUCUAAGUGCUAGAAUGAAACCUGAUCCUGGUUUUGCUACUUCACCUAUCUGUGUUACUGAUAAGGAUUAUGAAUUCUCUGUUGAUCCUGAUAUAAUUACUUUAGUUGAAUCUGAUCAUUUUCAUGGUUAUGAAUCUGAAACAGUUGUGGCACAUCUUACUAAAUUGAAUGAUAUAGCUACCCUGUGUACUAAAGAUGAGAGAACUCGUUACUUUUAUAUCCUUAAAAUAUUUCCGUUCUCAUUAAAGGGUGAUGCUAAGAUAUGAUUUAAUUCUCUUGAUCCUGGUUGUGUGCGUAGUCCCUAGGAUAUGAUUUAUUACUUCUUUGCUAAGUAUUUCCCUGCUCAUAGGAAACAAGCUGAUUUAAGAUAUAUAUAUAUAUAUAUAUAUAUAUAUAUAUAUACAUAUAUAUAUAUAUAAUUUUGUGCAAAUUGAAGAAGAGAGUCUCCCACAAGCUUGGGAGAGGCUUCUCCAAUUACUUAAUGCUUUGCCUGAUCAUCCUCUUAAGAAAAAUGAAAUACUUGAUAUCUUUUAUAAUGGACUAACUGAUGCCUCCAGAGAUUACCUGGAUAGUUGUGCUGGUUCUGUUUUCAGGGAAAGAACACCGGAUGAAGCUGAAAUUCUAUUGAACAAUAUGUUAACAAAUGAAAAUAAUUGGACACCUCCGGAGCCAAUUCUUGAGCCUAUUCCUAAACCAACUCCGAAGAAGAGGGGUAUUCUAUUUCUCAGUCCUGAAAGAUAUGCAAGAGGCAAAGAAAUCUAUGAAAGAAAAGGGUAUUAAAGCUGAAGAUGUUAAGAAUUUACCUCCUAUUGAAGAAAAACAUGGUCUUAAUUUACCGCCUGUUGAAGAAACAUAUAAUCCAAAUCCUUCUCCUAUUGAAGAAACUCAUGAUCUUGAUAACCCGACACAGGUAGUAAAGGUAAAUUCUCUCUACAGAUAUGAUAAAGUUGAAAUCCCAUUUACUAAAUUUGCUAGCCCAUGCUUAGAUGAGUUUGAUAAAUUUAUGGCUAAGCAAGAAGAUUUUAAUGCUUAUUUUGGUAGACAAUUGAAAUACAAUUCAAAUAUGCUUGAACACUUGGGUGAUUAUAUGGCUAAUGUCAAAGGUGAACUUAAACUUAUUAGUAAACAUGCUUCUAUGGUUACCACUCAAGUAGAACAAGUACUUAAAGCUCAAAAUGAUUUGCUCAAUGAAUUGAAUAGUAAAGAUAAUGAUAAUGUUGUUAGAGUGGCUACUAGAACUGGUAGAAUGACUCAGGAAGCUUUGUAUCCUGAAGGCCACCCUAAGAGAAUUGAGCAAGAUUCUUAGAGAAAUAAUAUAGAUGUGUUGGAGAUAUGCCCUAGAGGCAAUCAUGUAUGAUGAUAUUUCCUAUGUGUUUAUGAAUAAAGAUAGUCCUUGGACAUUAUCAAUGAUGUGUAUCAGCAAGUACGUGACUUGUUUGUGGGACUAUGCAUUGUAUGAUGACUGUCCUAAAAGGUCCCUAGUCGAAAGGGCUGUGUGGACGCGCAGCCAACUAGACUAGCAUAUGACACGGUUGAUGGCUUGGUAUCACUAGCCAUGGAGCAUUGGAUGCUAACCGGAUAAUAUGGACUUGGAAGGAUCUGGUUGGAUUCGACGUAGUCGGAUCCGAGUCGAGAUAAGGUCCAAGUCGGACAGACCCAACUAUGAGACGCAGCGAUAUGUCAUCUGUGAGUCUCUAGUACAACUUAUGUUCUAUGUCCUAAGACCUGAGCUGACGCAUGUACUCAGGAUGGUGACAGACUUGCUUUGGUUCGACCAAACGCUACUCCGUAACUGGGUAGUUAUAAAGGUAGGUUUCGGGUUUGUCCAGAACCAUGCUGCGAGACGUGGUCGAGCAAGAUGGGAUUUGCCCCUCCGAUCAGGAGAGAUAUACUCUGGGCCCCUCGUGUGAUCCGACCAGGAUAAGCAUGGCCAUGCAACAAGGAUUAUGAGAUAAUCCGGUUUGUGGUCGGCAUCACUGGAACGAGAAAGAGGUCGGGCUAGCACAAGGAUGACAGACUCGCCUUGAGCUCGACAACAUAUAUCGUGUGGCAAAAGGAAUGGAAGUGUGAUGUACAGGUUCGCUAACCAGCUUCAUAGUCUGCUUGGUGUUCGGCAUGCCUUGCUAGAGGCCGCUACCAACCGUGCAGUUUGGAGGUGAUCCGAACUGCGACCAAGCCGACUUGAACCUAAGGGGUCACGCGCUUAAGGGAAGGAACCUACGAGGUCGGAUCAAAGGACACUGGUCGGAUGUGAUCCGAACUGUAUUCCGAUUGUGGCCGAGUAGACUUAUGGGCUUUAGGGUCCGUGCGAGGCCCAAGUGUUGAGCCCGUGACGAACGCCUAUAUAUAUAGUGGAGGUGCGGCACACUCAGUAGUUGAUCGCUUCGGCGCUGUCACUAGGGUUUGCAUGUGUUGCGAAUAGACACCUCCACUCGCUGCCGGUUGUGUGAUCGGACCUAGCAGUCCGCCGCACGAUGUUCCUCCUGCACGCGCGGAUACCGUUAGAGGCGGUGCACUUGCGCCCCCCGGCGAACCUGUACGUGGCAACCGACCACCGGCUCUGCGAGGGAGAUCGGACGAGGAGGAGACGAUCCACGCGGACGCUCUGCCCCAACUCUUCUUCCGCUGCACGGCACUGCGCGUCUAGUGGUAAUGAACUGUGAUCCAUCUCCCGUAGCACGUUCUUGGUUGUUAUGCGCGUAAGAAAUUUUAAUUUACAGUCGACGCGCCCUACCGUAGAUCCCAACAAGAUGCACCUAGUUCUUCUAAAAAGAAGAAAAAGAAAAAUGAUAGGACUUUGCAUGCUUCUAGUGAUCCUAUUGUUGAAACACCUGAGAAUCCAAAUGAUAUUUCUAUUUCUGAUGAUGAAACACAAUCUGGUAAUGAACCUGAAACUAGUGGUAAUAUUAAUGAUAAUGUUCAUGAUGAUGCUCAACCUAGUAAUGAUAAUGAUAUAGAAACUAAACCUGCUGUUGAUCUUGAUAACCCACAAUCAAAGAAUCAACGUUAUGAUAGGAAAGAUUUUGUUGCUAGGAAACAUGGUAAAGAAAGAGAGCCUUGGGUUUAGAAACCCAUGCCUUUUCCUCCCAAACCAUCCAAGAAAAAGGAUGAUGAGGAUUUUGAGCGCUUUGCUGAAAUGAUUAGACCUAUCUUUUUGCGUAUGCGAUUAACCGAUAUGCUCAAAACCAAUUCUUAUGCUAAGUACAUGAAAGAUAUUAUUACAAAUAAAAGAAAGAUACCGGAACCUAAAAUUUCCACCAUGCUUGCUAAUUAUACUUUUAAGGGUGGAAUACCAAAGAAACUUGGAGAUCCAGGAGUACCCACUAUACCAUGCUCCAUUAAAAGAAAUUAUGUUAAAACUGCUUUAUGUGAUCUUGGAGCCGGUGUUAGUGUUAUGCCUCUCUCUUUAUAUCGUAGACUUGACUUGAAUAAGUUGACACCUACUGAAAUAUCUUUGCAAAUGGCUGGUAAAUCAACUGCUAUACCUGUCGGUAUUUGUGAGGAUGUGCCUCUUGUAGUUGCAAACGUUACUAUUUUAACGGACUUUGUUAUUCUUGAUAUUCCCGAGGACGAUAGUAUGUCUAUUAUUCUUGGAAGACCCUUUUUGAAUACUGCAGGGGCUGUUAUUGAUUGCACUAAUGGCAAUGUCACUUUUCAUGUUAAUGGUAAUGAGCAUAUGGUACACUUUCCGAGGUAACAAUCUCAAGUUCAUAGUAUCAACUCCAUUGGAAAAAUUCCAUCGAUUAUAUUUGGAGGUUUUGAAUUUCCUCUUCCUACUGUCAAGAAGAAAUAUGAUAUUCUUAUUAUUGGGGAUGUGCAUAUCCCCGUUGAGGUAACAUAGUGUUAUUCAAAAUUUCUCCGGUUACAUGUUAUUCGGAAUGAGUUCGUUAACAAGACUUGAUCAACCUUGUUAGAGGAUUCCUUUUGAUAAUCAUGAGAUGGAUGAAACUAGAAGGCACAACCUUCUGUACCCUCCUUUUACUUUCUGUUAUUUAUAUUAGAUAAAAUGAAAAUAAAUAUUUUUCUGUCUGUUAUCUGAUUAUCCAUGCAAUAUAAAAAUACCUUAAAAAUAAAAGUUCUCCAAAUGCCCUGAAAUUUAAAUAUGAUUUUUUUCUAGAAUAUUUGAGAAUAUUUGGCACUGAGAACACAGCAGGGGGGCCAACCACGUGCCCAUGAGGGUGGAGGGCGCGCCCUACCCCCCUGGGCGUGCCCCUGCCUCGUGGGCCCACGGUGGCCCUCCUCCACUUAUCCUUUCAUCCACACACUUCAUCUUCAUCCCACAAACACGAAUAUCCAGCUCAAGCACGAGUUCUAGCUCAUUUUGCUGCCAUUUUCGAUCUCCUUGCUCAAAGCACCUCUCACAAAACUGCUUGGGGAGAUUGUUUCUUGAUAUGUGAUUCCUCCAUUGGUCCAACUAGUUUUUGAGUUAAUACCACUUCUAGUACAUAAACUUGUCCUGGUGGGAACAAGUUCAUACAAGAAUUAAAAAACCCCCCAUAAAAGUAGUACACAAACUUUUGCUAGCGGAACAUUUUAGUCCAUUUCCGUCUAUUCUGCCGGUGCACGGUCUCUGCUGUUAUAACGUUCGCUGAUAUGGAACCGGCUCCAUUUGUCAGUGUCGCACACAAAAGAAUAAAAUAGUACGCAGCCAGAUUCGAAACGAAGACCUCGCGCACUCAGUCUGCUUGUCAAAACUGCAACGCGCUAAACACUCUAACAAAAAACACUUGUUGUACAAAUUGGAGCUGCAACCUUUAUAAUCUUUUAUUCACGUACAGUUUACACUCAUAAUUUUUUCUUAAAUACGAAGAGCUGUAUUCUCCACUAAAGAUACGUUUAGUGCUCCAUUUGAGUAUGUAUGCUUCAAGUUUGAGCCAGGGUUUCUUGUACACGAGCCAAACCACGAUGCCGCUGUUCACUAGCUUCGAUAUAUGAACCACUGGCAUAUAUUCAACGACUGAGACCAAAUAACCGGGCCAACUAACAUAGCUAUAUUUUUGUGCUGGCAACAUUGAGCAGAUCCGUCAUCCCGCCGAUACAGUCACUAUCCCACAACACAACACUGUCCCCUUCACAGGAGGCGAGGCAGACCGGGGAUGAUGUCAGUGGGAGGCAGAGAAACCCUGGUUUUGGGGUGGCGGCCACUGUAGGGAAUCAUUUUCUCAUAAUUCACCAUCAGUAACCAUAAAUCAUUGGUUGUGUGGAUCAUUCGAUGUAGAGGCACAAUUGGGCCGCCUCUUCUUCCGGCGUGGCAUCGAAGUAGCAGGGAGGCGCGCUCACCCACUCACGGAUCUCGUCGGUCCACGAUUAGGUCUCCUCCGGCCAAGAGGGGGGGGGGAGGGGGUGACCGCUUGCAUGUGAGAGUUGGAUCGUGCUCCGGCUCCGGCUCGGCCUUGAGCUCGACGAUGGGCGGCGCCGACAGCGGUGGCGGCACGAACAAGGGUGCCUAGAUAGAGCCCCCCACCGCGGACAAAAGGGCUUGCUCCAUCCCAUCCCAAUGGUCGUCCUCCUUGAGUCGGCUCGUCUCCAGCGCGUGCUGCAAGGCCUCCUCGAGGGCGGCUUGGUACUCCGCCUCCUCUUCCUCCGGCUCUACCCUAAGGGGCGGCGGUGGAAACAGGGGGUUCAUGUGGACGCUUCGCCGUUGUUGCUCCUCGUGUUCGAGGGCAAAUCAGGCCUCCCAGUUGGGAGAGUCGGUGGCAUACUCGGGCAUUCGCCGCUGUGCUGGUGUGAGCUGCGCCUAGCGCCUGCGCACCUCCUCAUCGUGCGCUCGCUGUGACCGCGGAAUCACCGGCACCGGGAUCUGUUACAGAUCGAGGUGUCAGUGGCGUGACAGUGUCACGUCAGGGUAAGGCAACGACUGCCUAUAAUCCUAGCGCCACCAUGUUUGGUGCACCGGGAUGUGCAGACGCUGCCGACCUGAGUGGGAACGCGUCGGUGGUGGAGGAGGAGGGGGAGGAGGAGCACGGGAGGAUGAGGCGCCGGGGGUGCCCUUGCCCUUGUCGCUGCCGGAGCUGUUGCCGAAGAGGCCCAUUGCUAGGGUUUAGGUUGUCGCCGACGAGGAAGCACGAAGGGGGUGGUGGGGGCCAGAUGUGGACGGAAGUGGAUGAGGCCGCCCCCUUCCCCGCACACGUGGGUUAAGAAACAACGUUUUCACUGGCUGACUAGUGCACCCGGUGUCUGUGGUCGUCAUAAAUUAGAUGACGGGCGAUAGUUGCGUGGCCGCCAAGUGGGACCGCGACGGACACCGAGGGGACAUGCGGCGCGUCCGCUUUGCGUCCGUGCCGAUGCAUUUCAGGCACAAUUUUGGGCCGGAAAUGGGUUCAUGCAGACGCGAAGCGAACGGUUUUUCGAAAUGGGUCGGUGCGUUGGGCCGGUUUUUUUGUCUGCGACGACCCAAACAGACAUGGGUUGCCUCGUUGGAGUUGCUCUUAGGCCCACAAAAAAUAUUUUUAUUAAAUAGGAGUACGUAUUUCUUUUAGGUAUACCGAUCAGUGAUCGGUUGAAGUGUUCUCGUGCCGUGCGCGACCAAAGACUAUAAGAUGUGCAGCUCUGUUUGGAUUGACUCGCGCCUUAUGUUCGGGUGGUUAGCGCGCUGCUAGUUGCAAGCUAACUUGUGCGCGAGGUUUGCAGUUCGAAACCCCUCAGCUCGCUAUUUUGUUGUUUUGGUUUAUUCUUUCUUUGUGACACUGACAUACGGGCCCGGUUUCACGUCAUCAACUGUAGAAGCACGUUAUAACGGCAGGAGAUGAUGCACCGGCAGAAUAGACGGAAAUGGACUAAAAUGUUCUGUUAGCAAAGUUGUUGUACUACUUUUGUGGGGUUUUUUAGUUCUUGUAUGAACUUGUUCCCACCAGGACAAGUUUAUGUAUUAGAAGUGGUAUUAACUCUUAGUUUUUGUUCUAGUGCUUUAUUCAUUGCAAAUUUUUGCUGCUUAGGUGACCCUAUUCUUGAGCUUGCAUGUCAAAUUUAUAUGGUCAAAAGUAGUUUUGAUGCAUGAUAUAGGCCCUAGGCACUUGUAGGAGUAGUUGCUAUCAAUAUUAUUGAGUUUGGUUUACUUUUAUUUUGAAGUUACUAAAAAUUUCAGAAUUUUUCAGAAAAUGAUGAAGAGACUAUUGAGGGGCUCAUCGAGUCAAAGCUCGAAGGAAAAGGCACUGAAGUCUAAGUAUAAUUUGCCGUGCACCGCGGAGGUUCGGGCGUGUGAAUGGCCUUCCGAGGAUUUCUUGAGAGCAGCCGAUAUUUAUGAAGAUUUUCAUGAGUUGGCUAAGAAUGCAGGCCUCACCGCUUUCCUCCACGACCAAUGCGAUCAGUAUCUCUUACUCACAAAUACCUUUGUGCAAAACUUUCAUUUUCAUUCUAGGAAUUCGCCACCUACAGUGGAGUUUCAUUUAUAUGAUGAACAUAAGGAGAUGUCACUUUAUGAUUUUUGUCGGAUUUGUUUGGUCCCUUUUGAGGGCAAGACAUAAGAACCACAUCAUGAUGAUGUGGAGGGGUUUAUUGAUACUAUCACUGUAGGGGAAACUAGGAAGGUUUCCGAUGCACGAAUCACUAGCAUACAUUUUCCUAUUUUACGUUAGUUUGCAUUAUUUGCUAGUCGUUGCUUAAUUAGACGCGGAAACUGUGGAAACCUUAGUAUCCCUGAUAUCAUUAUUCUACUCCACGGUUUAUAUAGUGAUAACACUUUUAGUAUGGGCGGCAUUAUUGCUAAACGGUUAAGUCUGAAUCGUACCAAAGGCCCCAUCUUUGGAGGCAUCUAUGCUUCACGCCUAGCUGCACAUUUUAACAUACCUAUUAGGCAUUUUGAGAAGGAAGAAAAGGUGCUGCCUCGUGUUUAUCUAGAUUAUAAAAGUAUGGUGGCACAUGAUUUUAUUGUUAAGAAUAGGGAAGGAGAGCUUAAAUAUCAAUUGUUCUUUAAUAAACACCAUCAUGAGACUAUUGCCCUGCCUGCUCCUUCUUUGUUUGAUUUAUUUGUAGGCACGUACCUUGUACCGUUGAAGGCUAUUCACGCCUACCGGAACCCUGCACCAGCCGAGGAGCCAGAGUCGGAACCACAAGUUGAUCCUCCACGACAGUCUAAUUACCAGUGGGAUCCGGAGAUGAUUGUCAGCCAGUGGCAAUUGGAGUCUUCGUCUUCUUCAUCUCACUACGACCCGAACUACUAUUAUGGAUAUCCGCCAGGCCAGCCGUGGCCAUAGACCAACUUAGGCCAAAACCUAAGCUUGGGGGAGUACGUAUUUCCCACCGACAUUACAUUUAUGUUCACACACUCAUUGCUAUAUGUCGGUGCUCAUACUUUUUCAUUGUAUCAUCCAUGCUAGUUUACUUUCCUUUUUAUGCUUUCUUCUUGUGUGUUUAAUAAACCUUAAGAAAAACCCAAAAAAUUAGUUGUAGAUUUUAGUUAGUUUAAUUUCCAUGCUUGUAGUAGUAAUUAAAAAGAAAACCCAAAAAGAUUUCCUGUUCUUCUUUUGCUUGUUGGGAGCUUUCCUGUGUAAAUAGUUUUAUUUCUUUCCUUUUCUUUGGGGGUCGAUAGGAGAAGACCAUAAUUAAAUUGUUGAAGUGGCUCUUAUAUGCAUACUUGUUGAUUUGAUAAAAGAGCCCAUAUUGCCUUGUCUUUUCCUGUUUAUUGAAUGCUUGCAGAUUCCAUCUUAGUCCAAUGCACGUGCACUAUUAUUAUUAUUCACACUAUUCGGUCGUGCAAGUGAAAGGCAAUUAUGAUGUUAUAUGAUGGACUGGCUGAGAUGAGAAAAGCUAGUAUGAACUCGACCUCUUUUGUUUUUGUAAAUAUGAUUAGUUUAUCGUUCCUGAUUCAGCCUAUUAUAAAUAAACAUGUUUGCAAUGACAACUAGAGAUCAUAGUUUCUUAUGCCAUGCUUGAUUAGCUAUGAGUCAUAAUGGUUUACCUUGCGUGCCAACAUGCUAUUAAAAUGGUUAUGAUGUUGUAUGAUAGGGUGGUAUCCUCCUCUGAAUGAUUUAAGUGACUUGACUUGGCGCAUGUUCACGCAUGUAGUUGAAACAAAAUCAACAUAGCCUUCACGAUAUUUAUGUUCAUGGUGGAUUAUAUCCUACUCAUGCUUGCAUCCGGUGUUGAUUAAUUUUAAUGCAUGUUCAUGACUGUUGUCGCUCUCUAGCUGGUCGCUUCCCAGUCUUUUGCUAGCCUUCACCUGUACUAAGCGGGAAUAAUGUUUGUGCAUCCAAACUCCUUAAACCCCAAAGUUAUUCCACAUGAAUCCACUAUACUGUGACGUCCCGAGACCGUUGCGCCAGGUGUCUUCCAGUUAUUCGCUGUCAUUGCCAUGUCAUUUGCUUGCAUGUUGCAUUUCAUCAUGUCAUCAUGUGCAUUGCAUCAUCUGUUUUUGAUAUCUGCAUCCGUCUGGGUUCCCCCAGUUCCGUCCGUUGUCCGUUAUGAGCCCAACCACACUUGCACGCGCCCGCGGCACGUCCGAAAUAUUAUUUUAUAGGUGGCCGGAAAAUGUUCUCAGAAUGGGAUGAGAGUUGGCAUGCGGUGUUGUUAUAGUGUUCUGCCAAGUUUCAUCGCAUUCGGAGUUCAUUUGAUAGCCCAACCAUUACACUAUAGCGGCAGUAUAGCCGGUCUAUCGUCGGGCGUUUUCGGUCUCCGGAAACAGUCGCCGGACCUCUCCUCUUCUCUCUUCUCAGAACUUUGCCUUCUGCACUACCUCUCACCACCAGGCCCUAUCUAUCCUCUCUCGUCAGCCCGCGGACCUCCUCCUGCGCGCGUCCAAAAUCUGUCCCGGACCCGACCCGGACUGUCGCCAUCGUUGUGUCCGGAUCAUCCCCAAACAUCUACAAAACGUCACCGUUUUCUUAUUUGGACUCCCUACCUAUUCUUUAUUCUCUCGACCGUCCGAUUUCGAUCGGAGGGACCAAAUGGCCAUAUGCCUAGCCCACUGCUAUAUAUUCAGAUGAAACCCUAGGCCUAGCUAUCCCAUCCAUCAAAUCCUCCCCCGCCGCCGCCACUGUCAUUCUCCCACCUCGGGAUCCCCUUCGCACCAACCAGCCACCACCAAACUGCCAAAUCCAUCGCUCCACACAAACUAGAGCCCGCACCCAUGGUCCAAAUCCUCCCCGACCAGCCUCCUCAUUCCUCGGGAUCGAGCCUGAGGCAACGAGCGCUGCUCCUGAUUCCCUCGAUCUCGUGUCUCUCUCCAACACCCUCGCUCGAUCUGGACUAGGAGGGCCCCGAGCUCCUCGACCACCGCCUCGCGCGCCCGAUCCUCGAGCCGCCUCCUCUGCCUCGUUCCCGAAGCCGUUGGCGCUGAGCUCCCCCUUGCGCCGCCGUGCACCUCGCGCCCCGAGCACCUCGUCGCUGCUGCCCAAACAACCGCCGGCAACCAGCAGGUUACCAGCGCCGCGCCCCUGCCUCUAUUUUUCUUCUCCACUGAGGCCCUCUCUCUCUUUCCUCAACUCUCUCUCGUCUUUAGGGACCCCAUGACGCCGCCGCAGACCCGGCCAUGGAGCCAUGGAUACUGCCCUGCAGCUCUGUAGCCAAGACCGUGCGCCCUCUCCGUCCGGAGUUCCUGCUGCCGCCAUCGUUGUUCGACGCCAGCGCCUCGACUCUUCGAACCAUGGACGAACGCCUCACACCGAGUCCGCCGCCAUCGCCCCGUUCUUCUUCAAGCCGUGGUCGUGCUGCCGCAGAAGUGCCGCCAUGGAUGCUCGAACCUCCCUCUGCUUCCCGCGUGGGAUGACCCCAGUGCCGCGCCCCUGCUUUGCCUCGCCGGCAGCAAGCUCCGCCACGCCAAGUCCGCCGCCGUUCCCGAGUCUCCGGAUGCCAUGGACUUCCUCCACCGCUCAAUGCUGCCACGGGACACCGGCGCCCCCAACCUCCUCAUCGCCCGCACGCCAACAGGUCCCCUGCCUCGCCGCCCUAUGCUUGGAUCCGGCCGUCCCCGCGCCGUCACGACCCUGCAGAGACGUGCCCAAGACCCAUCUGCGUCGCCGUUCAAGUCCCAGCACUGCCUCGUUCUUCUUCCUGGAGCGAGAGUAGCCACCUGCAUCGUCUGAAGCCGCCCGCGUUCCCCUCUGUCUUCUUCCUGUCGAACAGAGGAACCGCUGCCUCGCUCGCCCGUGUUGACCCCGUCCCAGCGCGCUUCCAGUCCAGCAAGGCCCAACCGCUAGAUCCGGCCCAGCGUGGUGAGGGCACCCCGCGUCCCUCUUUUUUUCUCUUUCCCUCCUGUUGGGUCAGCCAUCCUGUUGUGUUUCGGCCCAGUGUGUUUUUUCCCUGCUGUGAUUUUGUCUUUUAUCUAGAGAUUUACCGGUUUUACAGAAAAGCCCUUCAAGUCCAUGCAUUUAAUAACUUUAUAACCAUGCAUCACAUGUAAAAACUUUAUAUAUGAAAGUUGCUUAGAAUCUUGUCUAGUUUCAUAAUAUGCCCCUUUCACCCAUGUUCGAAAUGUUUAAAAUGCUGUUUGAUUAAAUUUACUCCUAUGCCAUGCUAAAAUGCUUUAUUUCAUAACUAAAUAACCAUAACUCGGUUUGUAACAAACUUUAUAUGUAAAUGGGGUAGAAAAAUGCCUAGUUUAACAUGGUGGCCUCACUUUGCAUGUUUAACAACUAUAAAAUAUGGUUUAGGGCAGAACAGUACCAUAACCAAAAUAUGCACAUGAGGAGUUUCCAGACUUGUUGUUUGUCGUUCCGGCCUCAUUUAAACUUUCCUAGAUAGGUAGUUUUCAUUUGCUUCACCCUCUUGCCAUGUUUAACAACAUUUAAUAUUGUUGGGUACAUAAACGAGCUAAAUAACUUGAAUGUGGUGUUUCGUCAAUAUGCAACGGAGUUGCAUAUUGAGCUCCACUUAAUUUGUAGGAUUGCUUGUGCACUUUGCCAUGCCAUGCCCUCUUUAAAUCGGACAUGCAUCAUACUUGGUUGUGCAUCAUGCCAUGUUAUGUGGUGGUUGUUUACUAUGUUUGUUUGCUUCUUUCCGGUGUUGCUUCGUCGGGUUGGUUCCGAUAACGUCGUGUUGUGAGGAUUCGUUCGGCUACGUCCGUUUGUCUUCCUCAUGGACUCGUUCUUCUUCCUUGCGGGAUUUCAGGCAAGAUGACCAUACCCUCGAAAUCACUUCUAUCUUUGCUUGCUAGUUGCUCGCUCUUUUUGCUAUGCCUAUGCUGCGAUACCUACCACUUGCUUAUCAUGCCUCCCAUAUUGUUGAACCAAGCCCCUAACCCACCUUGUCCUAGCAAACCGUUGUUUGGCUAUGUUACCACUUUGCUCAGCCCCUCUUAUAGCGUUGUUAGUUGCAGGUGAAGAUUGAAGUUUGUUCCUUGUUGGAACAUGGAGAUGUUGUUCCUUGUUGGAACAUGUUUACUUGUUGGGAUAUCACAAUAUCUCUUAACUAAUUAAUGCAUCUAUAUACUUGGUAAAGGGUGGAAGGCUCGGCCUUAUGCCUGGUGUUUUGUUCCACUCUUGCCGCCCUAGUUUCCGUCAUAUCGGUGUUAUGUUCCCAGAUUUUGCGUUCCUUACGCGGCUGGGUUAUAAUGGGAACCCCUUGACAGUUCGCCUUGAAUAAAACUCCUCCAGCAAUGCCCAACCUUGGUUUUACCAUUUGCCACCUAGCCUUUUCUUUCCCUUGGGUUCUGCAGACUCAAGGGUCAUCUUUAUUUUAACCCCCCCGGGCCAGUGCUCCUCUGAGUGUUGGUCCGAAAUGGGCAGCCUGCGGGGCCACCUCGGGGCAACUCGAGGGUUGGUUUUAAUCGUAGCUUGACCUAUCUGAGUGUGCCCUAAGAACAAGAUAUGUGCAGCUCCUAUCGGGAUUUGUCGGCACAUUCGGGCGGUGUUGCUGGACUUGUUUUACCAUUGUCAAGGAUGUCUUGUAACCGGGAUUCUGAGCCUGAUCGGGUCUUCCCGCUAGAAGGAAUAUCCUUCGUUGACCGUGAGAGCUUGUGAUGGGCUAAGUUGGGACUCCCAUGCAGGGAUUUGAACUUUCGAAAGCCGUGCCCGCGUUUAUGGGAAGAUGGGAAUUUGUUAAUGUCCGGUUGUAGAAAACCUGAAGUUGACCUUAAUUAAAAUACGUCAACCGCGUGUGUAACCGUGAUGGUCUCUUUUUGGCGGAGUCCGGGAAGUGAACACGGUGUUGGAGUUAUGUUUGACGUAGGUUGUUUUAGGAUCACUUCUUGAUCAUAGUUGUUCGACCGUGCUUUUGCCUUCUCUUCUCGCUCUCUUUUGCGUAUGUUAGCCACUAUAUAUGCUAGUCGCUUGCUGCAGCUCCACCUCAUACCUUUUACCCUUCCUAUAAGCUUAAAUAGUCUUGAUCGCGAGGGUGUGAGAUUGCUGAGUCCAUGUGACUCACAGAUACUUCCAAAACCAGCUUGCAGGUGCCGUUGAACUGUGCAGAUGACGCAACCAAGCUCAAGGAGGAGCUCGAUGAAGAUCUUGUCCUUUUGUGUUGUUUCGUUCUAGUUGAUCAGUAGUGGAGCCUAGUUGGGGUCGAUCGGGGAUCUGUGUAGCAUUUGGGGUAGUCUUCUUUUUAUUUUGGUUCCGUAGUCGGACCUUGUGUGUAUCUGGAUGAUGUAAUGCUUUAUUCUUGUAUUUGUGUGAAGUGGAGAUUGUAAGCCAACUAUGUAUCUUUUCCCUUAUGUAUUACAUGAGUUGUGUGGAGAUUACCUCACUUGCGACAUUGCUUUCAAUGCGGUUAUGCCUCUAAGUCAUGCUUUGACACGUGGGAGAUAUAGCCGCAUUGAGGGCAUGACAAGUUGGUAUCAGAGCCUUCCCCGACCUUAGGAGCCCCCUACUUGAUCGAAUCACUGGCGUUAUUGAGUCUAGAAAUGUUUUGAGUCAUUUAGGAAUUAUAUAUAUCGGAGAGUUAGGACUUCUUUUUACUCCUCAGUCCCUUCGUCGCUCUGGUGAGGCAUCCUGACGUAGAGUUUUGACUCUUCUCUUCUCAAAUUUCACUAAAAAAAUUUAGGAUCACGCGGGUAUCUUGGAAUCGUUCUGAUGGUUUUGUGACGAGAACAUUGUUCUUGGUGCCUCCUGUCAUUUAGGGGUUGUGGCAGUGUCCCGAGGAGUUGAGCUCCAAGGUGUUGUCGUCACAAUUUUAUCGUUGCAGUUCUGGAAUACCUGAGUUUAGGUUCGCCGACAUCGAAAAUCUCUUUUAUGCAGUUGUUGGUGAGAUAACCUCGACGCCACCUAGUACUGGGGCGGGAGUUCGGGAGUAUCGCCAUAACUCGUAUAACAGAUGCUUUCCGAAGGUUGAGGUAGACGAUUUCCGAAGGUUUCUUGGUUAUGUGUUGAAGGAUGGAUACAGCUGGAUGUAGGAUUUGCUAGUUUUGGGUGAGAUAUUAUGCUUCCCCUGUAUCCCCAACACCUGAUUGCAUAACCGGAAAAUUUCGGGAGUUUAUAAGUGGGAAUUCAAGUAGCUCUUAGGAUAUCUUUUCGACAGAUGUAUGAUACGAAAUUGGGGUUCGACGUCUAGUGGUCCGCCUAUUCACGGUUGGUUUUACAGUGGUCUCGUUGUGUCUUAAAGAGUCCUUGGCUAUGCUGACUCGGGGACGCUUCGUAUGUCAUGUGCACUGCCUUGUACAUGAUGGUGCUGUACGAUCGAGCCCGUGUAGGCCCCACCACAAAAACUUCGGACGAAAUCUCUAUCAUAUGUUUGUUCCGGCUUAUUUUGCAAGAUAAUCCUUGUUUUGUUUUGAGUUGUGGUAUCCGAGUUGCUUCGAAGUCAAAUGUUGAUUCCAUACCUUUCCUAAGUGGUGUUCUCAUAUUUCUAUGUAAAUACUAAUCCUUUUCGAUAAUCGAGAUCAUCAUGCCAAUCCUUUUCAACCGGCGUGUUUCUCUUCAAGUGGAUCCAAUCAUUUCAACAUCCGCAAGAUCAACUCAAGUCUUCUCAACGGUGUUUGUUUCAUUCGUCUCCAAGUUGCCUUUGUUUUCCCGCCCACCCUCCCCUUUUUUUCUUCAAGGAUUAUUAAUUCUUAAAAACUAUCCAUCUUAUUCAUGUGAAGCCUCUUCUUUUUUUCAAUCAAUGUUCUUACCCGGUGAUGCUCAUGAAGAUUUUAAUGGAGUUUCUAGUUCACCAUUAUUCAUUCUUUUUCUUCUCCGGUGGAACCAAGUCAAGCUUUGUGGAUCAUAUCCUUUUUCCUCGUUUCAAAUACCUUUUAUUACCGGUGCACCUCUUUAUCAUUCACCUCUCGCUAUUCAUUUGUUCCGGAGUGCUCAAGAUAUCUCGAAGAUUCGUGUUUCCACUCUGCAUUCGUUCAAGAUCUUUCGAGGAUGUUACCUCAUUCAAGCCAUUUAUUUCAACCAGCGCAAUCUAUCUUCUAAAUCAUUCAACGGUGUUUUUUUUGAGUGGGCCCUAACCCACAGGUCUUUUCCCAGGAUCUUACCUAACUCUUCUUAUUUUUUUUCCUGGAGCUAUCCUCAAUUUCUUUUCUAAAGUUUGACAUAAGAAUGAAUUGUCAUCAGUCAUAUGUAUUUUCGUCAAGAUCUUUCAAAUUCUUUUCAUCAAUGGCUCAACCUUUUCUAUUCUUCAUUCCGGAGUGUCUAAACAAUUCUUGGUGGUGUUUCCCGUCGUCAUUCUCAGUUUUUGAAGACCGAAGAGGAGUUUCUUUUAAAUAUUGCCUCAUUCUCUGCCAUCCUCUCAUAAUUGUUUUCGGUUGUGUGAUUUUUUCACCCAUCCGGAGCAAUUCAAGAUUCUGUUCAAUUCGAUUCAUCCGGAGCCCAUCAUUUCAGAAGACUUAUUCAUUCUCAGCUUUCAGCUCUCGUUCUCCAAAUCUUACCGGUGCAUCGUUCAAACAUUCUCUUAUCAGCUAGUGAUCUUUUCGUUUUCAUGUAUCUACAUUGUCUCAAGUAUCUUCGUUCAUUUCACAAUUCUUACCCGGUGAUUAAUCCCUUUACUUUGUUCAAUUUUUUUACAAUUCAUACGGCGGUUCGUUCAAGAGCUCUAUUCGUGGGUUAUCAUAUCAAUUUAUUUGUUGUUUCAACCCUUCCGGUGGUUCGUUGAAGACCUUCUCAAGUUUUGCGCUAUAUCUCUCUUAAUCCUUGCUAUGAGAAUAAGUUGUGUGCCAAACCCAUUUGUUUGUCAUCAAUCUAAUUGGUGAAGGUUAAGCAUAAUAUAAUUCUUAUUCCUGUUUCAUCCAUAUGUUAAUCUUUUCUUCCAGAGUUUGUUCACGAUGAUUAAAUUCUUGGUUUCAAGUGCUCGUCUUUCUUUACCGGAGUUCCAAGCUCUUUCAAUUAUAUCGUUUCAAAGAUCCAUCUAAUCAUUGCAAGAAUUCACCUUGUGUUUCCAACUUCUCUCUCCUUUCGUUUGAUCAUCCCUUUGCUUACCGGAGUUCUUCACGGAGGUUAUACAUGAUGGUUCUUCAAGGAUUUAAUUCCUUCUUGAAGUAUUCAUCAAGAUUCUUUUCAGAGGAGUUCAAGCAUUCUUCUUCUUGCUAUCCGGAGUGCAAGUCUUUCUUCCAUAUCAUUGGAGGUGGUUUUAUGUCAUUCUUGAUUAUUUGAGUUUGUGUUUCAUGUUUCCCAUGUUGUCAAGAAUGAGGUAUCUUAAAUCCAUCAAUCUCUUUGUUGGAGUUAUCUUGUGUCAUGUUUCACCUAAAGCCUUCCCUAAGGAUUGUUGCUACCUAUGGCGCUUAAAAUGACCAAAGUUCUUCAUUUAUCCUCCCGGUGAAAUAAGUUUCUCGUCUCCUUGUUCUUAUCAAUCCAAUUCUUUUUCCCGUGAGUGGCAGGUUGUCACCUCAUAAUUUGAGACGUAUUCCAUAAGACCAUAUCAAGCUUAUUCUUUUCGUUGUUGGUUUUCCAACAACUCCGUUCUAGCAUUUGUUGUAAGCGUGCUCUCUCAAGACCUUGUUUCCCUUCGUUCACUCCAUUCCAUUCUUACUUUUGUUCCGGAGGCAUUGUGAUGUUCAUCUUUUCAACCCAUAAUCUCGUUUUGUCAAAGAUCAUGUUCUUUUAAUGCCUAUCCAUUUAACCAGAGUGUUGUGCCCUUUUGCUCAAGUUCUUUUUGCUUUAUCACACCUUGUACAUAUUGUUUUAACCGGAGUGCUUGCAUGUACUUCUUGUCCUUUGCAACCUUUCUCUUGUGCCUUUUAACCUACAGGGCUCUCGUGAUGUUCCUUGUUCCUCUUUUCUUAACGGAGUGCUUUGAACUUCGUUCAUCCCUGUUGUAUUCUUUUCUCGAGAUGGCUUAACCUUUUCAAGGUUCUUUGGUUUCACUCGCUUGUCAAAGAAGCAACUUAGUUUUACAUCUUCUCUUUCUCUUCUGUUUUCCCUCCGGUGCCAUUCUAGAUCUCGGGACGAGUCCUCUCGUAGUGGUGGAGUGUUGUGACGCCCCGAGACCGUUGCGCCAGGUGUCUUCCAGUUAUUCGUUGUCAUUGCCAUGUCAUUUGCUUGCGUGUUGCAUUUCAUCAUGUCAUCAUGUGCAUUGCAUCAUCUGUUUUUGAUACCUGCAUCCGUCCGGGUUCCCCCAGUUCCGUCCGUUAUCCGUUCUGAGCCCAACCACACUUGCACGCGCCCGCGGCACGUCUGAAAUAUUAUUUUGUAGGUGGCCGGAAAAUGUUCUCAUAAUGGGAUGAGAGUUGGCAUGCGGUGUUCUUAUAGUGUUAAUAGGUCGCCUGCCAAGUUUCAUCGCAUUCGGAGUUCAUUUGAUAGCCCAACCGUUACACUAUAGCGGCAGUAUAGCCGGUCUAUCGUCGGGCGUUUUCGGUCUACGGAAACAGUCGCCAGGCCUCUCCUCUUCUCUCUUCUCAGACCUUUGCCUUCUGCACUACCUCUCACCGCCAGGCCCUACCUAACCUCUCUCGUCAGCCCGCGGACCUCCUCCCGCGCGCAUCUGAAAUCUGUCCCGGACCCGACCCGGACUGUCGCCAUCGUUGUGUCCGGAUCAUCCCCAAACAUCUAGAAAACGUCACCAUUUUAUUAUUUGGACUCCCUACCUAUUCUCUAUUCUCUUGACCGUCCGAUUUCGAUCGGAGGGACCAAAUGACCAUAUGCCUAGCCCACUGCUAUAUAUUCAGAUGAAACCCUAGGCCUAGCUGUCCCAUCCAUCAAAUCCUCCUCCGCCGCCGCCACUGUCAUUCUCCCACCUCGGGAUCCCCUUCGCACCAACCAGCCACCACCAAAACUUCCAAAUCCAUCGCUCCUCACAAACUAGAGCCCGCACCCAUGGUCCAAAUCCUCCCCGACCAGCCUCCUCAUUCCUCGGGAUCGAGCCCGAGGCAACGAGCGCUGCUCCUGAUUCCCUCGAUCUCGUGUCUCUCUCCAACACCCUCGCUCGAUCUGGACUAGGAGGGCCCCGAGCUCCUCGACCACCGCCUCGCACGCCCGAUCCUCGAGCCGCCUCCUCUGCCUCGUUCCCGAAGCCGUUGGCACCGAGCUCCCCCUUGCGCCGCCGUGCACCUCGCGUCCUGAGCACCUCGUCGAUGCUGCCCAAACAACCGCCGGCGACCAGCAGGUUACCAGUGUCGCGCCCCUGCCUCUCUUUUUCUUCUCCAUUGUGGCCCUCUCUCUCUCUUUCCCUCACCUCUCUCUCGUCUUCAGGGACCCCAUGACGCCGCCGUAGACCCGGCCAUGGAGCCAUGGAUACCGCCCUCUGCAGCUCUGUAGCCAAGACCGUGCGCCCUCGCCGUCCGGAGUUCCGGCUGCCGCCGUCGUCGUUCGAGGCCAGCGCCUCGCCUCUUCGAACCAGGGACGAACGCCUCGCACCGAGUCCGCCGCCAUCGCCCCGUUCUUCUUCAAGCCGUGGUCGUGCUGCCGCAGAAGUGCCGCCAUGGAUGCUCGAACCUCCCUCUGCUUCCCGCGUGGGACGACCCCAGUCCCGCGCCCCUGCUUUGCCUCGCCGGCAGCAAGCUCCGCCACGCCAAGUCCGCCGCCGUUCCCGAGUCUCCGGAUGCCAUGGACUUCCUCCACCGCUCAUCGCUGCCACGGGACACCGGCGCCCCCAACCUCCUCACCGCCCGCACGCCAACAGGUCCCCUGCCUCGCCGCCCUAUGCUUGGAUCCGGCCGUCCCCGCGCCGUCACGGCCCUGCAGAGACGUGCCCAAGACCCAUCUGCGUCGCCGUUCAAGUCCCAGCACUGCCUCGUUCUUCUUCCUGGAGCGAGAGUAGCCACCUGCAUCGUCUGAAGCCGCCCGCGUUCCCCUCUGUCUUCUUCCUGUCGAACAGAGGAACCGCUGCCUCGCUCGCCCGUGUUGACCCCGUCCCAGCGCGCUUCCAGUCCAGCAAGGCCCAACCGCUAGAUCCGGCCCAGCGUGGUGAGGGCACCCCGCGCCCCUUUUUUAUCUUUCCCUCCUGUUGGGUCAGCCAUCCUAUUGUGUUUCGUCCCAGUGUGUUUUUUUCCCUGCUGUGAUUUUGUCUUUUAUCUAGAGAUUUACCGGUUUUACAGAAAAGCCCUUCAAGUCCAUGCAUUUAAUAACUUUAUAACCAUGCAUCACAUGUAAAAACUUUAUAUAUGAAAGUUGCUCAGAAUCUUGUCUAGUUUCAUAAUAUGCCCCCUUCACCUAUGUUAGAAAUGUUUAAAAUGCUGUUUGAUUAAAUUUACUCCUAUGCCAUGCUAAAAUGCUUUAUUUCAUAACUAAAUAACCGUAACUCGGUUUGUAACAAACUUUAUAUGUAAAUGGGGUAGAAAAAUGCCUAGUUUAACAUGGUGGCCUCACUUUGCAUGUUUAACAACUAUAAAAUAUGGUUUAGGGCAGAACAGUACCAUAACCAAAAUAUGCACAUGAGGAGUUUCCGGACUUGUUGUUUGUCGUUCCGGCCUCAUUUAAACUUGCCUAGACAGGUAGUUUUCAUUUGCUUCACCCUCUUGCCAUGUUUAACAACAUUUAAUAUUGUUGGGUACAUAAACGAGAUCGAGCUAAAUAACUUGAACGUGGUGUUUCGUCAAUAUGCAACGGAGUUGCAUAUUGAGCUCCACUUAAUUUGUAGGAUUGCUUGUGCACUUUGCCAUGCCAUGCCCUCUUUAAACCGGACAUGCAUCAUACUUGGUUGUGCAUCAUGCCAUGUUAUGUGGUGGUUGUUUACUAUGUUUGUUUGCUUCUUUCUGGUGUUUCUUCGCUGGAUUGGUUCUGAUAACGUCGUGUUGUGAGGAUUGGUUCGGCUACGUCCGUUUGUCUUCCUCAUGGACUCGUUCUUCUUCCUUGCGGGAUUUCAGGCAAGAUGACCAUACCCUCGAAAUCACUUCUAUCUUUGCUUGCUAGUUGCUUGCUCUUUUUGCUAUGCCUAUGCUGCGAUACCUACCACUUGCUUAUCAUGCCUCCCAUAUUGUUGAACCAAGCCUCUAACCCACCUUGUCCUAGCAAACCGUUGUUUGGCUAUGUUACCGCUUUGCUCAGCCCCUCUUAUAGCGUUGUUAGUUGCAGGUGAAGAUUGAAGUUUGUUCCUUGUUGGAACAUGGAGAUGUUGUUCCUUGUUGGAACAUGUUUACUUGUUGGGAUAUCACAAUAUCUCUUAACUAAUUAAUGCAUCUAUAUACUUGGUAAAGGGUGGAAGGCUCGGCCUUAUGCCUGGUGUUUUGUUCCACUAUUGCCGCCCUAGUUUCCGUCAUAUCGGUGUUAUGUUCCCGGAUUUUGCGUUCCUUACGCGGUUGGGUUAUAAUGGGAACCCCUUGACAGUUUGCCUUGAAUAAAACUCCUCCAGCAAUGCCCAACCUUGGUUUUACCAUUUGCCACCUAGCCUUUUCUUUCCCUUGGGUUCUGCAGACUCAAGGGUCAUCUUUAUUUUACCCCCCGGGCCAGUGCUCCUCUGAGUGUUGGUUCGAAAUGGGCAGCCUGCGGGGCCACCUCGGGGCAACUCGAGGGUUGGUUUUACUCAUAGCUUGACCUAUCUGAGUGUGCCCUGAGAACGAGAUAUGUGCAGCUCCUAUCAGGAUUUGUCGGCACAUUCGGGCGGUGUUGCUGGACUUGUUUUACCAUUGUCGAGGAUGUCUUGUAACCAGGAUUCCGAGACUGAUCGGGUCUUCCCGCUAGAAGGAAUAUCCUUCAUUAACCGUGAGAGCUUGUGAUGGGUUAAGUUGGGACUCCCCUGCAGGGAUUUGAACUUUCAAAAGCCGUGCCCGCAGUUAUGGGCAGAUGGGAAUUUGUUAAUGUCCGGUUGUAGAAAACCUGAAGUUGACCUUAAUUAAAAUACAUCAACCGCGUGUGUAACCGUGAUGGUCUCUUUCCGGUGGAGUCUGGGAAGUGAACACGGUGUUGGAGUUAUGUUUGACGUAGGUUGUUUUAGGAUGAGUAAAAUGCAUCAUAAGUCCUAAAACUAUCGGAGGUGUGUCAGUUUAGUCCUAUAACUUUGAAACUGCACUUUUGGGUCCUAAAACUAUCAGAGAUGUGUCAGUUUAGUCCUAUAACUUCGAAACUGCACUUUUGGGUCCUAAAACUAUCAAAGGUGUGUCAGUUUAGUCCUAUAACUUUGAAACAGUAGUUGUGGGUUCCAAAACUAUGUAAGUUUCUUCCUCUUAGGUCCUAAGCUUGCAUGGUUAGGAUUGACCCACCAACGAGUCACUUGGAAAUGCUUGGAUUGUAGCCACGUUGACCUGACCCAAUGGGCCCACCAGGUAAAUAUGCAAAAAAAACUAGAGCGUUGUCUCGCCUCAUUAUCACGCGCUCGUCUUCUCCCACGCACAGAAUGCUCAGAGGCGACGGUACAGAGGCCAUCAGUGGAAUGAUGGUUUGAGCUCCAGCGAGGAGAGUAGACCGGUCAUCUCAGCCUCCCCCAACAGCAGCAGAACGACAUGCCGCACAACGUCCAAUUGCUACCCACCUAUGGCUACUGCUAGGGUUGUGUCACUCUCGACGACCUCUGCGCCUGCUUUGCAGUUUCUACGCACUCCUCUGUGUCGCCCGACAGCUCACCACCUAUGACCAUGCUCGUGCCCAAACAACAGCCUGCACGGCCAACUCUACGGCAAGGGUGUCGGGGCAACGACGAUAUCAUCAAACAGAGAGAGAGAGAGAGAGAGAGAGAGAGAGAGAGAGGUGGGAUGGCGUACUCCAUCCCAAUUGGCUCGGGAUCUCCCCGGCGGCCUCGCCGAGGGAGAGGAAUGUCGUCCUUCAUGCCGACUAGCUCGGGGUCUCCCCGAUGGUCAUGCCAAACCUCUCAGGGAGGCUACCGUGCAGGUGGUGGGCAUGCAGGUUGCAGGACACACUGCAACGUGGAAGCGUAUGUACCACUUUGGGGGAUAUAAACACAUACAAAGGGCUCAUUUGAAAAAAUGCACCAUGGAUGGUGGCCAUGCAAGAUUAGGACCUCAGAUGAACAAACAUACAUAGUUUUGAGACCCAAAACUGCAAUUUUGAGGUUAUGAGACUAAAAAUGACACACCUCCAAUAGUUUUAGGACCCAAAAGUGCAGUUUCGAAGUUAUAGGACUAAACUGACAUACUUCCGAUAGUUUUAGGACCCAAAAGUGCAGUUUGAAAUUUAUAGGACUAAACUGACACACCUAUGAUAGUUUAAGGACUUGUGAUGCAUUUUACUCUUUUAGGAUCACUACUUGAUCAUAGUUGUUCGAUCGUGCUUUUGCCUUCUCUUCUCGCUCUCUUUUGCGUAUGUUAGCCACUAUAUAUGCUAGUCGCUUGCUGCAGGUCCACCUCAUACCUUUUACCCUUCCUAUAAGCUUAAAUAGUCUUGAUCGCGAGGGUGUGAGAUUGCUGAGUCCCUGUGACUCACAGAUACUUCCAAAACCAGCUUGCAGGUGCCGUUGAACCAUGCAGAUGACGCAACCAAGCUCAAGGAGGAGCUCGAUGAAGAUCUUGUCCUUUUGUGUUGUUUCGUUCUAGUUGAUCAGUAGUGGAGCCCAGUUGGGGUCGAUCGGGGAUCUGUGUAGCAUUUGGGGUAGUCUUCUUUUUAUUUUGGUUCCGUAGUCAGACCUUGUGUGUAUCUGGAUGAUGUAAUGCUUUAUUCUUGUAUUUGUGUGAAGUGGCGAUUGUAAGCCAACUAUGUAUCUUUUCCCUUAUGUAUUACAUGGGUUGUGUGAAGAUUACCUCACUUGCGACAUUGCUUUCAAUGCGGUUAUGCCUCUAAGUCGUGCUUCGACAUGUGGGACCUAUAGCCGCAUCGAGGGAGUGACAUAUACCUACCUAUAUACGGUAUCUACCUGCCGUUCCAAGUAAAUUUGUAUGUGCCAAACUCUAAACCUUCAAAUAAAUAUCCUGUUUUGUAUACUCGAAUAGCUCAUGUAUCAACUAGGGUUGUCUAUAUCUUCCAUGUUAGGCGGGUUAUUCUCAAGAGGAGUGGACUCCGCUCCUCACUCACGAGAUAAAUGGCUGGUCACCGGGAUGCCCAGUCCCAUGCUUUAUGCAAACUAAAUCAAAAUAAUUGCAAACAAAACUCCCCCUGGGACUCUUGUUAGUUGGAGGCACUCGUUGUUUCGAGCAAGCCAUGGAUUGAUGCUUGUUGGUGGAAGGGGGAGUAUAAACUUUACCAUUCUGUUUGGGAACUGCCUAUAAUGUGUGUAGCAUGGAAGAUAUCGCCAUCUCUUGGUUGUUAUGUUGACAAUGAAAGUAUACCGCUCAAAAUAUUGUUCACCUCUAUUUCAAAACCGAGCUCUGGCACCUCUACAAAUCCCUGCAUCCCUCUGCGAAGGGCCUAUCUAUUUACUUUUAUGUUGAGUCAUCAUCCUCUUAUUAAAAAGCACGAGUUAGAGAACACCACUGUCAUUUGUAUUCGUUACUGUUAGUUUACAUUGAGUAUGACUUGACUGGAUCUCUUUUACAAUGAAUUACAAUGUCUAGUCAGUCCUUGGUCUUUAAAGGUGCUCUGCAUUUAUGUUCGCGGUCUCAGAAAGGGCUAGCGAGAUACCAUCUUGUUAUAUCAUAUUAUGAUUGUUUUGAGAAAGUGUUGUCAUCCGAGAUUUAUUAUUAUGGCUCGCUAGUUGAUUAUGCUAUUGAUAUGAGUAAACUUGAGACCUAUGCGUUAUUGCGAAUGUGGUUAGUUAUAAUCUUUGCUGAAAACUUGAAUGCUGACUUUACAUAUUUACAACAACAAGAGCAAAUAGAGUUUGUAAAAGUUUUUCUUUAUCACUUCAGUUUGUCAACUGAAUUGCUUGAGGACAAGCAAAGGUUUAAGCUUGGGGGAGUUGAUACGUCUCCAACGUAUCUACUUUUCCAAACACUUCUGCCCUUGUUUUGGACUGUAACUUGCAUGAUUUGAAUGGAACUAACCCGGACUGAUGCUGUUUUCAGCAGAAUUACCAUGGUGUUAUUUAUGUGCAGGAGCAAACGUUCUCGGAAUGACUUGAAACUUCACGGAGCCACUUUUCAGAAAAUAAGAAAAAUACCAGCAAAAGAUGAAGGCCAGGGGCCCACCACCUUGCCACGAGGGUGGGGGGCGCCUGCCCUCCUAGGGCGCGCCCCCUACCUCGUGGGCCCCCUGCUGCGUCUCCGACUCCAACUCCAUAUAUUGAGUUUCGGGGAGAAAAAAUCAGAGAGAAGAAAUCAUCACGUUUUACGAUACGGAGCCACCGCCAAGCCCUAAAACCUCCCGGGAGGGCUGAUCUGGAGUCCGUCAGGGGCUCUGGAGAGGGGAAUCCGUCGCCAUCGUCAUCAUCAAUCAUCCUCCAUCACCAAUUUCAUGAUGCUCACCGCCGCGCGUGAGUAAUUCCAUCGCAGGCUUGCUGGACGGUGAUGGGUUGGAUGGGAUCUAUCAUGUAAUCGAGUUAGUUUUGUUAGGGUUUGAUCCCUAGUAUCCACUAUGUUCUGAGAUUGAUGUUGCUAUGACUUUGCUAUGCUUAAUGCUUGUCAGUAGGGCCCGAGUGCCAUGAUUUCAGAUCUGAACCUAUUAUGUUUUCAUCAAUAUAUGAGUGUUCUUGAUCCUAUCUUGCAAGUCUAUAGUCACCUAUUAUGUGUUAUGAUCCGUUAACCCCGAAGUGACAAUAAUCGGGAUACUUACCGGUGAUGACCGUAGUUUGAGGAGUUCAUGUAUUCACUAUGUGUUAAUGCUUUUUUCGGUACUCUAUUAAAAGGAGGCCUUAAUAUCCCUUAGUUUCCGUAAGGACCCUGCUGCCACGGGAGGGUAGGACAAAAGAUGUCAUGCAACUUCUUUUCCGUAAGCACGUAUGACUAUAUUCGGAAUACAUGCCUACAUUAUAUCAAUGAACUAGAGUUAGUUCUGUGACACCCUAGGUUAUGACUGUUACAUGAUGAACCGCAUCCGGCAUAAUUCUCCAUCACUGAUCCAUUGCCUACGAGCUUUCCAUAUAUUGUUCUUCGCUUAUUUACUUUCCCGUUGCUAUUGCUAUCAUCACUACAAAAUACCAAAAACAUUACUUUUACUACUGUUGCCUUUUGCUACCGUUACCACUACUAUCAUAUUACUUUGCUACUGAACACUUUGCUGCAGAUAUUAAGUUUCCACGUGUGGUUGAAUUGACAACUCAGCUGCUAAUACUUGAGAAUAUUCUUUGGCUCCCCUUGUGUCGAAUCAACAAAUUUGGGUUGAGUACUCUACCCUUGAAAACUGUUGCGAUCCCCUAUACUUGUGGGUUAUCACUAAACCAAUCUCCUGAGGUUACUGACGAUGCCGGAAGCACGGUCAGCCUAACCACGAUGGUCUAUUCCUGCAAGCAAUCGAAGGACGAGCAAGAAUAUGAUAAAGUAAUCUGAAUAUUGCGAAUAUAUAUGAAGUAUUGAUAAUGGUGGGCAUCCGUAAGCGGUCUUGGUCUGGUCGUUGGACACAAACGAAGUGCACGAAGUUGCAAUGGCUAACUUUUAACUAAACAAAUCCCAAGGAAAAAAAGCUACUAGAUGGAUCUACUUAUAUAGGAGCAAGGGGUGGCGGCCAAGGAGGUGGGAGGACGUCCCAAGGCAGCCUAAAACUAACCCUAGGUCGUACAAGGCUCAUGGGCCCAAGUGGAGGUGAUGCAACACCUUUGAGCUUGUAGUUUGACUCGGAUUCUGUUGCAACGUCAGAUAGUUUCGUCCAUAACUCAACGCUCCAGACGAAUUUGAAGGUGAAUCCAAUUGUGUUGAAAAGAGCACGAAAUCUACUUUCAAAUAAAAAAAGAAUCACCCAAUUCGGAGUCCGUAUGAAAAAGUUGUUGGCGUUUUGAGUCAGGUAUGUCUGUGAAGUCCGAAUCUGAAUCCAGAACGUGAGAGACUUGGACUCUAUCUUCUCUUAGCCCAAAAGUGACAUGAGAGAACUUUUUUAAUAGCACAUAAACUUAGCUUUUUCCCUUAUCUUCAUAUGUGGAUUGUACAAAUGUCCCAUACACCUGCAAUUAGACAUGGCACAAAAGUUUGUGAAGUAUUUUUGUCCUGGAUGACAUAAAUAAAUUAUUGCAUAGUUUGCAUUAGAAAUCAGCUCACAAAAUACAUGUAUGCAAUAUUUUUGGUCGUAUCGAAGGUAUUCAUGUCCUCAUCAUCCUCCCCUUCUUGAAAACAAAGCCGUCCUCGGCGUUGCUUAAUCUGAAAUGUGGCUAACAAAAGAGACAAGGUGUACAUGUUGUAUAUGUAUAUGUCAUCCAUUUUUACUUCCCUUGGUUUUUGCACAAAUGACACAUGUAUACAUGAGUAAUUUUCAUAGUUCAUAAAAUUUGGAGCCGAAAUAUUAUCACAAGAAGUAGAAGGCAUGAAAAUAUUGCAACUCAGUUUGCACAUAUAAGUGAAGCUCUUAUUCAUAUCAAAGGACUGACAAUGUUCAUCAUUAAACCAUCCCAACAUUGGUGAAUAAACCUUAUUUGCAUCAAAUUUACAUUCUACAACAUGCUUAAAUAAGCAAACAUGCAAUAAGUCAUUUGACAUAUAAUCAUCACCAAGAUUAGAGGUCAUAUCAAAAUGAUUAAACAUUGGUUCUUUUGCAUCAACAGUUAAUUCAAUGGGUGCACUCAAAAUUGUUGGUAUUUCAGUUGUUUGACCACAUGAUGCAUUCAUGACAGUAACAAGAUUCUCUAAAAUAGGUGGUGUGCUCAAAUCAAGAGGUAACUCAACACAUGAUGCAUUCAAGUUAACUAGGCAUUCAUCAUUCUCAUGUGAAGUUAUAUCAACAGUACCUUUACCGUUACCUUGUCGCAAAGACGCAGCUGAUGUAGGUACGGACGUUGACAAUGUACCAUACUCUUGAGAUGAUGUCGCACUCAUAAUCCAAGGUGGGGCUGCUCUAGUAGGUGCAACGGUGGAGGAACCAACCGGCGGUGGUGAGCAUGAACUGGAAUAGUAGUUGUUGUAGUCUCCCAAUGCAUCCUCCCGUAUCUGUCCCUCAAAGGUACAAGCAUGAACAUACAUACCAGUAAUGCAACAAGGAAUAUACUGAAAUAUUUCCUGAAUAUCAUGGUUUAAACCAUCAAAAAAAAUCUAUUCAUUGUAUCAUCCUCAGAUUCUUCUAUGUCACAAUGAUGCAUAUAAGAUUUGAACUCUUGGUAGUAAGCAUGAACAGUGUUGUUGCCUUGUUUAAACUGUUGAAAUUAGCGGAGCAAUUCACGACGAUAGUAAGGAGGGAAAAAUUGUUGUCUCAUUACAUAUUUCAAAUCUUUCCAUGUUGUGGGUUGGUUAUCAAUGUUUUUCUUACAAUGCACACUCCACCAAACAUAAGAAAAACCAGUAAAUGCUCUAGUGGCAGAUCAUACUCGCUCAAGUUUAGAAAAGUCAUGGUGAUUAAAAACUUGUUCUACUUCAAGCUCCCAAGCUAGAUAAAUAGCAGGAUUAAAUCUACCCUCAAAUGACGGUAAAAAGUUAACCUGACCAUGUGCUUGUGUGUGUUGUCCCAACUCUCGUGAUGGUGAAGAUGUGUCCGUCGUCCAAGAACUUCUAUCUCCGGAACCUGUCAUGAUUAGUAGAAACAAGAAACAAAAUUCGAGAAUAAUGUUCCUAUGAACUACUAGGAUGUGGUUGUAAAGUUCUCACAGUAAAGCAAAUAUCAAUAUCUUACAAGUUCUUACCAUGCGGCAGGUGGUGACAAGCAACGAGCGGUUUCAAAUAACUCCAAAGAUUGUGUAAAGCAAUUGCCAGGGGAACGUACGUAUACACGGUGUAGAAAUAUGUGGAGCUGGGUUGGCUAUAUAUGGUAGCAAAAUAUUAGCAAUAAUCAAUUCAGAGAUGCAAUGUUGAAUAAACGCUCAACGAUGGCACUGUGCUGGUCCUAGGCUAGACCGGACUAGAGACAUGAGCCUAGAACACUAAUGAGGUCACGGCGUAGCACAACUAGCAGCAGUGAAUGAUACUAAGUAGCUCUGUGAUACGUCUCCGUCGUAUCUAUUUUUCCAAACACUUUUGCCCUUGUUUUGGACUCUAACUUGCAUGAUUUGAAUGGAACAAACCCGGACUGACGCAGUUUUCAGCAGAAUUACCAUGGUGUUAUUUAUGUGCAGAAACAACUGUUUUCGGAAUGACCUGAAACUUCACGGAGCAACUUUUUGGACAAUAUAAAAAAUACCUGCAAAAGAUGAAGGCCAGGGGGCCCACCACCUGUCCACGAGGGUGGGGGGUGCGCGUAUCCCCCUAGGGCGCGCCCCCUACCUCGUGGGCCCCCUGGAGCUCCUCCGACUCCGACUCCAACUCUAUAUAUUUGGUUUCGGGGAGAAAAAAAUCAGAGAGAAGAAUUCAUCGCGUUUUACGAUACAGAGCCGCCGACAGGCCCUAAAACCUCUCGGGAGGGCUGAUCUGGAGUCCGUUCGGGGCUCCGGAGAGGGGAAUCCAUCGCCAUCGUCAUCAUCAACCAUCCUCCAUCACCAAUUUCAUGAUGUUCACUGCCAUGCGUGAGUAAUUCCAUCAUAGGCUUGCUGGACGGUGAUGGGUUGGAUGAGAUCUAUCAUGUAAUCGAGUUAGUUUUGUUAGGGUUUGAUCCCUAGUAUCCACUUUGUUCUGAGAUUGAUGUUGCUAUGACUUUGCUAUGCUUAAUGCUUAUCACUAGGGCCGAGUGCUAUGAUUUCAGAUCUGAACCUAUUAUGUUUUCAUCAAUAUAUGACAGUUCUUGAUCCUAUCUUGCAAGUCUAUAGUCACCUAUUAUGUGUUAUGAUCCGUUAACCCCGAAGUGACAAUAAUCGCGAUACUUACCGGUGAUGACCGUAGUUUGAGGAGUUCAUGUAUUCACUAUGUGUUAAUGCUUUGUUCCGGUACUCUAUUAAAAGGAGGCCUUAAUAUCCCUUAGUUUCCGUAAGGACCCCGCUGCCACGGGAGGGUAGGACAAAAGAUGUCAUGCAAGUUCUUUUUCAUAAGCACGUAUGACUAUAUUCGGAAUACAUGCCUACAUUAUAUCAAUGAACUGGAGCUAGUUCUGUGUCACCCUAGGUUAUGACUGUUACAUGAUGAACCGCAUCCGGCAUAAUUCUCCAUCACUGAUCCAUUGCCUACGAGUUUCCAUAUAUUGUUCUUCGCUUAUUUACUUUUUUGUUGCUAUUGCUAUCAUCACUACAAAAUACCAAAAACAUUACUUUUACUACGGUUACCUUUUGCCACCGUUACCAGUACUAUCAUAUUACUUUUCUACUAAAUACUUUGCUGCAGAUAUUAAGUUUCCAGGUGUGGUUGAAUUGACAACUCAGCUGCUAAUACUUGAGAAUAUUCUUUGGCUCCCCUUGUGUCGAAUCAAUAAAUUUGGGUUGAAUACUCUACCCUCGAAAACUGUUGUGAUCCCCUAUACUUCUGGGUUAUCACUCUAUACAACAAGAUAUAAGUGAAGAUCACAACAACAGUAAAGAUAAUGAUAAAAAACAACUGGCAAGCAGGAUAUACAACAACUUUCUCUCAAACUUUUUUCUGGAAAAGUUUGUGCCAAUUUUUUGAUAAUUUUUCUCAAGAUUUGCACUAGCUCAAGCUUUCAAAUGCAAAAAGAAUCACUCAAUUCCGAGUUGAUAUGAGGAGUCAAAAAAUUCAAAAACUGGCAUGAAAAACUGGAGUAAGCUGUGUUCAUGCACUUCGGAGAGCAAAAAUACCUAUUUAGAAGACGAUUUUGAGGUGCCAAAUAUUGAAUAAGCUUCUGCAACUAUUUAGAUGCGGCUUGUCGCUAGCUUUCAUUUAAGUGCUUGCAAAGCCAAAACGGACUUCGUAUGAGGAAGUUAUGCCUGUUUUUCUGAACAGUGCACAAAACAGAUUCCAAUCCGAAUUCAACUACGAGAUUGAGUCUAAAUAGAUCCGAAUUUUGUUUUUUUCUUCUUUUUCUUUUACUCACACUUUUUUUACUUUUUUUCUCUUUUUUUCUCUCUCCCUCUUUCCAAAACAAACUAGAUAAGACGCAGAUUGGAUCAAGCAAAGAUGUGAACGAUCUCAACUAUGAUUGUGACAAUGAGCGAUGGGUAGCACGUGGUGGAAAUUGAUGGAUGGGUGGUGGACAGUUGAAGGGAUAACAAUGCAGCGGUGGCGUGACUAAUGUGAACAGAACUCAAAACUCUAAACAAACUAGACACUAAGACGAGCAACUCGACACAAUGAUGCAACCGAUAAUUCAACUAUGCAAGCAAUGAAAAGAAAAUUGCAAAGGCUCAGACUGGCUUGGACAAAGGAUGAAUUGAUCUAACUUUUUUUGUGGCUUUUUCUUGGACAAUAGGUAAGAAAAUAAAUCUAAUCUAGGAAAAACUGAAAUUCUCACCGAGCAACCUGAAAACAGAUACCGCUUGAUAGAGGCGAGGGUGUCCCGAUCUUUCGAUGAGAUGAUAACUAUCAGUUUGGUGGAGACGAAUUUGACGAUCCGACUACAAACGUGCAAGACGUCGCGCCUUAGCAAUCGCUAAACCAAUCUCCUGAGGUUACUGACAAUGCCGGAAGCACGGUCAGCCUGACCAUGAAGGUCUAUUCCUGCAAGCAAUCGAAGAAUGAGCAAGAAUAUGAUCAAGCAAUCUGAAUAUUGGGAAUAUAUAUGAAGUAUUGAUAAUGGUGGGGAUCCGUAAGCGGUCUUGGUCUGGUCGUUGGACACAAACGAACUACAUGAAGUUGCAAUGGCUAACUUUUAACUAAACAAAUCCCAAGGAAAAAGCUACUAGAUAGAUCUACUUAUAUAGGAGCAAGGGGUGGAGGCCAAGGAGGUGGGAGGACGUCCCAAGGCAGCCUAAAACUAAUCCUAGGUCGUACAAGGCUCACGUGCCCAAGUGGAGGUGGUGCAACACCUUUGGGCUUGUAAUUUGACUCGGAUUCUGCUGCAAUGUCAGAUUGUUUCGUCCAUAACUCAACGCUCCGGACGAAUUUAAAGGCGAAUCCAAUUGUGUUGGAAAGAGCACAAAAUCUACGUUCAAACAAAAAAAUAA